rnacentral:rRNA from 1 species
UACUCGAGUGGCGAACGGGUGAGUAACACGUGGGUGAUCUGCCCUGCACUUCGGGAUAAGCCUGGGAAACUGGGUCUAAUACCGGAUAGGAGCCAUUUUUAGUGUGAUGGUUGGAAAGUUUUUUCGGUGUAGGAUGAGCUCGCGGCCUAUCAGCUUGUUGGCGGGGUAAUGGCCUACCAAGGCGGCGACGGGUAGCCGGCCUGAGAGGGUGGACGGCCACAUUGGGACUGAGAUACGGCCCAG